UACGUAGGGUGCAAGCGUUAAUCGGAAUUACUGGGCGUAAAGCGUGCGCAGGCGGCUUUGCAAGACAGAUGUGAAAUCCCCGAGCUCAACCUGGGAACUGCAUUUGUGACUGCAAGGCUAGAGUACGGUAGAGGGGGAUGGAAUUCCGCGUGUAGCAGUGAAAUGCGUAGAUAUGCGGAGGAACACCGAUGGCGAAGGCAAUCCCCUGGAACUGUACUGACGCUCAUGCACGAAAGCGUGGGGAGCAAACAGG
rnacentral:rRNA from 1 species